GCGGAUGGCCGGAUGGCCGCGCGUCCCCGUCUUCGGGCGGGGAUGCGAGGAAAGUCCGGGCUCCACGGAGGCACGGUGCCGGGUAACGCCCGGCGGGGGAGGGGGAGACCCGGAACCCCAGGGAAAGCGCCACAGAGAACAGACCGCCGGAGUUGGCUCCGGCAAGGGUGAAACGGUGGGGUAAGAGCCCACCGCGCCCCCGGCAACGGGGGCGGCACGGCAAGCCCCACCGGGAGCAAGGUCAGAUAGGGACGACAGGGUGUGAUGCCCGGGGCCGCCUCCGGUCCGUUGUCCGGGUAGACCGCACGAGGCCGUGAGCGACCGCGGCCCCAGAUGAAUGGCCAUCCCCGCGCCACCCUCCGGGGCGGAGCGGGACAGAACCCGGCUUACCGGCCAUCCGCACCU
rnacentral:RNase_P_RNA from 1 species